rnacentral:lncRNA from 1 species
CGCUGCCCCUGUCUUUCACAUGGGCUGUAAUUUAGUUCAAUUCAGAACUGCAGAUAGUACAGCUUUCACAGGAGCAGGGGAUGCCUGAGCACAAGUGGCUGAGUUCCGAGUGACUUUAGGAAGCACUUUCCUCCCUCCCUCCUGCCUGAGAACGGGGAUUCUGCACCUGCAUCAGGGACAGUCUGGCAAAAGCCUCUGCCAUGCCUCGGGGGACAAGGAACUAGCACAAAUAACCGUUUUGAAAUUGGAUCUUGGCAAAAUUAACGACAAAUCCAUAAAGGAAACCGAAGGCAGUUUGAGCUUCAUCUUCGAUGACAAUCCCACCAAAGUUGAAGAAAUAUGUUACGUCUCUAAAGAAGAGCAUGGCUGUGCCCUAAAGUUAGGACGUGAUGGUGGUCUUCCUCUACUGCUAAGGUGAACGACAUUCCGUUGUAUGCAUAGAUCACCACUUGUUCCUCCAUUCAUCUAUUGAUGAACAGUAGGUUCCUUCCACUUUUUUGGUCAUAGUCAAUGAUGCUGAUAUGAACACGGAUGUACAAGUGUCUGUCCAAGUCCCUGCUUUCGAUUCUUUUUAUGUGUGAAGAUUUCUAAGAACUCCCCUCAGUCAGCAUUCUGGGAAGCUCUUCCCCUAGGUGUUAAAAGAAAAUCCUAAGAAUACAUUCUUUAGAUAGCUAGAAGAAAGGAUAGGAACAAUACACAUUUUAUACUUUCUCUUUUACAUUAAUUUCCUGUCACUUGAAU